CUCUAAGAUGUUCAUCAUGUGCACGAUCUUACUUAUCAUGUGUAUUCUUUUUAGUUCCCCCACCGUAGUCCUUACCCAGGUUUUAACAAUAUUUCAGAACAUCGAAUGCAGGUAUAGUGAGAUAAACACAAAUCAAACUCUUAUUUAACCGUGACGGAAGGUGUCCGGAUUCAUGGAAUACGUUUGAAUCUCUCCCGCUGCUUUCGGUGGUUCAUCAUGGAAGAAAUUAGAAGACUUCCGGCUCCCGAUAAUCCAAUGAAGGUCAACGUUAUGCAGCCAUACGCAAUUUCUUGGUGCGUAAAGUAGUCCUUUGUAGACAUAAUGUCGGAAAACGUGUCGUAUAUGUGACAAGCGGGUGAACACGUAAAACAGAAAAGCCUGAACCAUGAUAUGUACACUUCGACAUCGCAGCCUAUGUCGCCGUCGCGUGCUUCGGACGGCAUCGCAAUACACGUGGUAUCAGUACGUUUUUUACCGCUUCGAUAACCGUCCAUCGCAUCUGGUAAUCGUCGAUCUGCCAAAUUACAAAUUGUUGACAACAAGUAGUUAAUCAGUAGUUUGAUAUAAUUUAAUGUGAAUAUUAUUUCUUUAUAAACGAUUACAGGCUGAUUGUUUGAAAUAUAUUGUUCAAUUUUGUGCCUCCCGGAAUUUCAAUUUGCAAACUCGUUGGGAUAGAAGUAUAAAAAAAAUUAUUGAAGCACUUCAGAACGUUUUGCAGUCAAUACUUACGAACAUUGACGCAAAUUUUAAAAGGCAUGAAAAAAUUUAACCACCGUACGGACACUCGAAAUUUAUAAUUUUUUAUUUACCUUUCACCGGUAAAUUUAAUGACCAGGUACAAAAACCGUUCAUAGAAACCAAAAAAAUGGUAACUUUUGAUAUAACAAAGGAACUUGAUGCAAGUAUCAACUCACAAAAUAAUUUAAUAUGCAACAAACGAACGUUAACUAAAACUUGCAUCUCAAAUCAGAAAAUUUGAAAAUCAUUUGAAGUCCGAAGACGUGGAUAUGUAUUCUAAAUUUAGAAUUACAAUCAUAUUGAAGUUAGUCGAGGAAGAACCGUUAUUUCGCAAUUUUCGAAUUGUCUGAAAUUCACUAAACCGUAAUAAAACAAAACAGACUCAUAUUUGGAAAUCUUAGCUCCUUAAAAAUCAUUGUAAAAUUGGGAAUGUAGUGAUUUUUUUCCCGUUGUUUGGUCAGAGAUGUCUCUGAUUUGGUUACGUUAACGAUACUAACUUCAGCCUCGUGAAUUACAACGGGCUUCUGCAGGCUUCGCUGCUUACUCAUAUAACUGCAGGCUGCCGCUAUUUUCAAAUUUAAGUGAUUCCGAUAAUCAGUCAUUUGACCGAAUUUGCAAAUUAUGUCGAGUUGUUUCAAAAAUAUAUAUGUUGAGAGGCAUAAAUCUGACCGACGACGGCCACAGGGUGCAUUUUAGUCGAACCCAUGAUUACUUAGUUUUGACGACCGUCUGCUAUGUUGAGAAAUGGUUUUUUCUUUUCAUCUUUUGGUGUUUUGACUGUUAUUAAUAAAUUACGAAUCUCUCAUUUCGACCUCAUUUCCAAAAUUGCGCACCUCCAACGCAAUAUAUCAUGAUAUUACUCAUUGGUAUAAUCAUGGGUACGUUACAGAAAAAAAGAAUUCAUCCUGUUGACAAAGUGUGUUUCCUCGAAAAGAGAGGGAUCCUCAAAACUUUUUCACGAAGUUCUAGAGUGUUCUAAAUACUAACCUUAAUAGUGCAAAUGAAGCCAAAGAUUCCGACCAGCUCGUAAUUUGAACCUUUUAAAAACUUACUUUACCUACAACACUUGACAAAACGAUAAAAGUGUCGCACCCAACAGUCCCCGCACGAGUGCCAACUGAUAUACUCGGAGCGGAAGUCCUGUGGGUACCACGUCCUCGUUACGAUUAGUACUCUGGCGCAGAUUCAGGAGAUAUGGCUCCUUCUCACAUCCCGCUCCGAAGGCUCGUAUGGGAGUAAUUAUUUUUCUGCGGCUUCGAAACAAAUCAGGUCUUCAAUUACUGUUAAGGCGCAUUUUGAUGAAGCUAUAUUGCGAAAAAUAUCUUUUUACUAAUCUAACAUUGCCUAAAAAUAUUGUAAAUCGAUCAAAUAACGGCCAUAUGGGGAUGAGCGCUUAUAAUUGAAUCGAAUCGUAUGUGAGCGAAGAGUUUUUACCUAAAAUACAUUUAUUUAUACGUAGCAAUAGUAUUUACUUUUGUGUUGAUAUUAAUUUAUUUCCUAGCGAAAUUACCAAUAUCACUUGUUGCUUAAUUUCUACCGGCUUAGCGUUGGUCUAGUGUUAUGCCACGUGAUAUCCCUAUGGAUUUUUGUGUGGGGUGAAAAUCCAGACGCCAUGUGCAGAAUGCAGAGACCAUAGCGCAUGCGCUAUGGCUUUUGCGUUCCGCUUAUGGGUUCCGGAGUUUUAUGUGCUUCGGUCUUAGAAAUGCCUUUGAUUAGCUGUCGCAGAAUUAAUGUGCAUACGUGUACUAUUGAAAUUAAGGCUUUACUGGUGCUAGAAUUCUUUGGGUCGGGAAAAAUCUAUUAGUUCCGCGUCACGGUCCCGAAAAUCUCGGGGUUCAUGAAAGUAUCAGUUUUGUCGAAAUUUUCGGGAUUCCCAGAUCUCCCGAUGAAAGAUGAUGUACUUUUUACUGAAAAUAUUGAUGCUAUUUAGAUACACGAUUCAAUAUAAGUAUUUAGUAUUAAGUAUUUAUCCAAUAUCAUAAAUUUUAGGUAAGUUUGGUCACCCACGGUUCAGGUUUCUGAAAAAAUUCUGUUUUACCGAUCAUUCCGGAUUCGUAAAAAAACCCGAUCCGAUACGAACCCGAACUUUUUUCGAGACUUGGAGAACCCGCACAGCCCUAAUUAAAAUACUGUGACCCUAAAAGCAUCAGAUCUCAACCUAUUGGUUUUUGAUGGAAAAAAUAAAAUAAGUUACAAAGAAAUGAAAUUAUUUUUUUCUUAGGAUUGACAUAACCGAUUUGAUUGAAAAUUUAAUAUGUUAUUGUAAUGAUUACGGUCAAUUUCAUAUUUAAUGGAAUAUUAACAGUCUCCUUAUGAUGCCUACGAAAUGGCGAGACACUUUAAUUAUUGUUUAUUACCUAAUUUUAAAGGUGCCCAGGGCAGAGAUAUGUUGUGCAGGGUAUAGGUUUACUUGUGAGUGAAUAAAAUAAAAAACUCGAAAAUACGAAUAUAUAAUAUAUUUAUUUAAUUUGUAUGAUACUUUUAAUUCGUUUCCAUAUACUUUGUAUAAUUACAUAUAUAAUGAUUAGACUUGUCGUUCCAUAUACUACCUGAGAUGGAAUGUAUAAAAUUAAUUAAAAAUCUUGGAACUCAAAAGAUUCCUCAACAUAACGCAACAUAAAAUCAUCCCUCUCUUGGAUUGUACAUAAAUAUAUACACAUAUAUAUAUAUUUUACUAUAUACGCAUCUCCUGUUCAUUUUGUAUUUCCCCUGUCAUAUGCCAGGGGAGAGAUGUUUUUACAGAAAAUCGUUGAUUGUUUAAACUUGCACAGGACUAUCUGUGAAAACAAAGUGCAACGACGUUCAUCCGUCACGUAUUGCCAACUUUGUCCCGAACUCUUAACACGCUUACACGGUAUUAAUGAGAAAGUUCAUUGUAUUCGAAGUUCAUCGAAUGUUCGAAAUUCAGUGCGCCACAGAGAACACAUUUUGAAACAUAACUGCAGUCAUUCUAAAUAAAAUUAUUCUUCAUUCUUUAC
rnacentral:lncRNA from 1 species